rnacentral:rRNA from 1 species
AGCCUUUAGCCCUACAAGUAUUAAAGGUCCCGCCUGCCCAGUGACUCUUUAAACGGCCGCGGUAUCCUAACCGUGCAAAGGUAGCAUAAUCACUUGUCCCCUAAAUCGGGACUAGAAUGAACGGCUAAAUGAGGACUAAACUGUCUCUUACAGAUUGGCCAAUGAAAUUGAUUUCCCAGUACAAAAGCUGGAAUAUACCCAUAAGACGAGAAGACCCUGUGGAGCUUCAAAACCAAACCACUUAGUAUGUUCCUUGGUUUUUUAGUUGGGGCGACUUCGGAAUACAACAAAACUUCCAAAAUAAAACUAACUCAUUAAGGUUAACACACCAAAAUCUCCACACAGACCCAGCAAUUAAUUUUGUCUGACCAAUGAACCAAGUUACCCCAGGGAUAACAGCGCAAUCUCCUUUUAGAGUCCAUAUCGACAAGGGGGUUUACGACCUCGAUGUUGGAUCAGGACACCCCAAUGGUGCAGCCGCCAUUAAAGGUUCGUUUGUUCAACGAUUAAUAGUCCUACGUGAUCUGAGUUCAGACCGGA